UGAAUGAACAUUUUUACAACUACUUAGUUAUGUAGUAGGAGGACUGGCUUUCACACACUGCAUCACUACUCAAGGUUCUGUGGGAUCAGUUUCCCUUAUUGCAUCCAUCCUUUGGCAUGAAUUUACUGUUUGUGACCUCACAGUGGUAAAUAGAGGGACAGAAGAGGACACAUUUUCCUGCCUGAUUCUUCUGGAGAUGGAAUAAUGAUGGAUGUGAACAGCCUGUAC